rnacentral:rRNA from 1 species
UACAGAGGUCCCAAGCGUUGUUCGGAUUCAUUGGGCGUAAAGGGUGCGUAGGCGGCGCGGUAAGUCGGGUGUGAAAUCUCGGAGCUUAACCCCGAAACUGCAUUCGAUACUGCCGUGCUUGAGGACUGGAGAGGAGACUGGAAUUUACGGUGUAGCGGUGAAAUGCGUAGAUAUCGGGAGGAACACCUGUGGCGAAAGCGGCGCACUGGACCACAACUGACGCUGAGGCGCGAAAGCUAGGGGAGCAAACAGG